rnacentral:rRNA from 1 species
AUGUUAUGCAUAGUAUCCGUAAGUGAAUACAUAGCUUACGUGAAUGUAACGCAGAGAACUCAAACAUCUAAGUACCUGCAGGAAGAGAAAGUAAAAACGAUUUCGUAAGUAGCGGCGAGCGAACGCGAAGAAGGGCAAACCAAGAAGCUUGCUUCUUGGGGUUGUAGGACUGCAACGUGGACUUAAGCAUUAUAGUCGAAUAACCUGGGAAGGUUAAUCAAAGAGGGUAAUA